rnacentral:rRNA from 1 species
UACGUAGGCAGCAAGCGUUGUUCGGAAUUACUGGGCGUAAAGAGCGUGUAGGCGGUUUGGUAGGUCCGCUGUGAAAACUCGAGGCUCAACCUCGAGACGCCGGUGGAAACCAUCAGACUAGAGUCCGGAAGAGGAGAGUGGAAUUCCUGGUGUAGCGGUGAAAUGCGCAGAUAUCAGGAAGAACACCCGUGGCUAAGGCGGCUCUCUAGUACGGUACUGGCGCUGAGACGCGAAAGCGUGGGGAGCGAACAGG